GGGGGCAUAGAAUCGGUAGAAACGUACGACGCCGUCGCGAAAGGAGGGAAUAACAGCCUUGCCAAUCUUUGCUUGCAGUUCCCAUACAAGAAGGGGGGCAGGUGUAGGGCAAAUGUGACGCGACCGCGGUUUCGGGCACAAGGGAUAAAUUGAACUUCAAGGUACGGUACGGUACAUAUAUCUGCUAUUUCUGAAAAAUAAACACCAUGCGAAUAGGUCAAGCGGACACCUUGCAUAGGGCGUGCAGAAGCAGAGCCGGAUUAGUUGAAGCGCACCGUAGUGUCUAGGCGACACUACGGAAGCGUUCCUCGUUUAAUUUCAC
rnacentral:lncRNA from 1 species